AAAGUUAGAGGUUCGAAGGCGAUCAGAUACCGCCCUAGUUCUAACCAUAAACGAUGCCAGCCAGCGAUCCGGCUGUGUUCCUCAAAUGACACGCCGGGCAGCUUCCGGGAAACCAAAGCUUUUGGGUUCCGGGGGAAGUAUGGUUGCAAAGCUGAAACUUAAAGGAAUUGACGGAAGGGCACCACCAGGAAUGGGGCCUGCGGCUUAAUUUGACUCAACACGGGAAAACUUACCCGGCCCGGACACAGGAAGGAUUGACAGAUUAAGAGCUCUUUCUUGAUUCUGUGGGUGGUGGUGCAUGGCCGUUCUUAGUUGGUGGAGCGAUUUGUCUGGUUAAUUCCGAUAACGAACGAGACUCUAGCCUACUAAAUAGACGUUCCGAUCAUCUCCGUCGGACGUUCUUCUUAGAGGGACAAGCGGCGUUUAGCCGCACGAGACAGAGCAAUAACAGGUCUGUGAUGCCCUUAGAUGUCCGGGGCCGCACGCGCGCCACAUUGAAGGAAUCAGCGUGUGCUUUCCCUAUCCGACAGGAUUGGGUAACCCGUUGAACCUCCUUCGUGCUGGGGAUUGGCCAUUGUAAUUGUCGGCCAUGAACGAGGAAUUCCCAGUAAGCACGAGUCAUAAGCUCGUGUUGAUUACGUCCCUGCCCUUUGUACACACCGCCCGUCGCUACUACCGAUUGAAUGAUUUAGUGAGGUCUUCGGACUGGAACUCGGAGCGGCUUUCGAGUCGCGCCGGUGUGCCGGAAAGAUGACCAAACUUGAUCAUU
rnacentral:rRNA from 1 species